UCCGCCAUAGCUCAUUUGGUAGUAGCGCAUGACUGUUAAUCAUGAUGUCGUAGGUUCGAGUCCUACUGGCGGAG
rnacentral:tRNA from 1 species